GGGGGCGUCACGGUUUCGACGGGGAUCGUUGAAGCUAUCAGAAGCGUGCCGAGGUUCCUGCAGGCCUCGUUAAACAGGCAGGAAAACACUUAGUCGCCAACAACUACGACUACGCACUGGCCGCAUAGGCCAGCGUCCUCCCGAGUUCGCCUGCCGGGUCGGAUGAGGGCGUCAUAAAGGCAGGAUAACCGACUUCCUCUGCCUGGGGGGAAGGGGGCGAAAAUCUAAACAGGCUAGCCCGCACCCAUCCUGCCUCUGGGAGGGGUGACGGUCGAAACCAAAUCAGAGGAUGCGCACGGAGAAACUGAAGUGGAAGGUUUCCGGACGCGGGUUCGACUCCCGCCGCCUCCACCA
rnacentral:tmRNA from 1 species